rnacentral:misc_RNA from 1 species
AACGCACGAGACCUGCGGACCUGCGGAAGGAUCAUUACCGAGUUUACAACUCCCAAACCCAAUGUGAACGUUACCAAACUGUUGCCUCGGCGGGAUCUCUGCCCCGGGUGCGUCGCAGCCCCGGACCAAGGCGCCCGCCGGAGGACCAACCAAAACUCUUUUGUAUACCCCCUCGCGGGUUUUUAUAUCUGAGCCACCUCGGCGCCUCUCGUAGGCGUUUCGAAAAUGAAUCAAAACUUU